CUACGGGACGCUCCAGUGGGGAAUAUUGCACAAUGGAGGAAACUCUGAUGCAGCAACGCCGCGUGGAGGAUGACACUUUUCGGAGCGUAAACUCCUUUUAUAUAGGAAGAAGAUGACGGUACUAUAUGAAUAAGCGCCGGCUAACUCCGUGCCAGCAGCCGCGGUAAUACGGAGGGCGCAGGCGUUACUCGGAAUCACUGGGCGUAAAGAGCGUGUAGGCGGAUUAAAAAGUCAGAAGUGAAAUCCUAUAGCUUAACUAUAGAACUGCUUCUGAAACUCUUAACCUAGAAUAUGGGAGAGGUAGAUGGAAUUUCUGGUGUAGGGGUAAAAUCCGUAGAGAUCAGAAGGAAUACCGAUUGCGAAGGCGAUCUACUAGAACAUUAUUGACGCUGAGACGCGAAAGCGUGGGGAGCAAACAGGAUUAGAUACCCCCGUAGUC
rnacentral:rRNA from 1 species